CAUCCAUUCUCCUGUCAAAUGUACGAUCACUGGACAGCAAAAUGGAUUACAUACGACUGCUCAGAUUAACGAACCGGACAGUGAGUAAAAGCUGCGUGCUC